GACGAACGCUGGCGGCGUGCCUAAUACAUGCAAGUAGGACGCAGUUGCGAUCGGGUGAGUAACGCGUAGGUACCUGCCUAAUAGAGGGGGAUAACUACUGGAAACGCUAGCUAAUACCGCAUACUAGUAGAUGGACCUGCGUUGUAUUAGGCAGUAGGUAGGGUAAUGGGCUAACUAGGCGAUGAUACAUAGCCGACCUGGAGAGGUGAUCGGCCACACUGGGACUGGGGCACGGGCCAGACUCCUACGGGAGGCAGCAAUAGGGAAUCUUCGGCAAUGGGGGGAAACCUGACCGAGGAACGCCGCCGGAGUGAAGAAAGGUUUCCGAUCGUAAAGCUCUGUUGUUAAGGGAGCGGUACUUAACCAGAAAGGGACGGCUAACUACGUGCCAGCAGCCGCGGUAAUAC
rnacentral:rRNA from 1 species